AGCAGAUAUAGUUUAAUGGUAGAAUAUCAUCCUUCCAAGUUGAGGAUGCGGGUUCGAUUCCCGUUAUCUGCUA
rnacentral:tRNA from 1 species